UUUCCGUAGGUGAACCUGCGGAAGGAUCAUUAAUGAGUUGUCAUGGGGUUCGAUGCUGGCAGCCAAUUUUUGGAUGCAUGUGCUUGCCCUAACAAUCAUCUUCCAAACACCUGUGCACAUUUUUGAGGGAGUCUUGAGUUGGUUGCCGCUCUUGGGUGAUUUUCUCACAUUCCCUUAAAUCAAUAUACGCUAUUAACAAUGUUGAACGUGCUCUGUGCCGCAAGGCUAUUAAUAUAAUACAACUUUUAACAACGGAUCUCUUGGCUCUC
rnacentral:misc_RNA from 1 species